CGCCUCGUGCCUGAAAGGGCAACGGCGUCGAGCCGGAGCGAGAAGUCAGCAGAGGCCGUAGUAGUCACAGGACAGGUUGAUGAGGCCGAAGCUGGUGACGAAGGGC
rfam:Burkholderia graminis C4D1M ctg60, whole genome shotgun sequence.